AGAGUUUGAUCAUGGCUCAGAACGAACGCUGGCGGCGCGCCUAACACAUGCAAGUCGAACGAGAAAGUCCUGCUUGCAGGAUGAGUAAAGUGGCGCACGGGUGAGUAACACGUGGAUAAUCUGCCUUUAAGCGAGGAAUAACAUUUCGAAAGGAAUGCUAAUACCUCAUAAUGUUAUUUUUUCUUCGGAGAGAAUAGCCAAAGGUGACCUCUGUCUCAAGUUGCCGCUUAGAGAUGAGUCCGCGGCCCAUUAGCUAGUUGGUAGGGUAACAGCCUACCAAGGCGACGAUGGGUAGCUGGUCUGAGAGGAUGAUCAGCCACACUGGAACUGAGAUACGGUCCAGACUCCUACGGGAGGCAGCAGUGAGGAAUCUUGCGCAAUGGGGGAAACCCUGACGCAGCAACGCCGUGUGAGUGAUGAAGGUCUUCGGGUCGUAAAGCUCUGUUUGAAGGGACGAAAAGUAUUUGUUUAAUACUCAAAUACUUUGACGGUACCUUCAGAGGAAGCACCGGCUAACUCCGUGCCAGCAGCCGCGGUAAUACGGAGGGUGCAAGCGUUGUUCGGAAUCACUGGGCGUAAAGGGCGUGUAGGUGGCUAAUUAAGUCAGGUGUGAAAUCCUUCCGCUUAACGGGAGAAGUGCACUUGAAACUGCUUAGCUAGAGUACGGGAGAGGAAGGUGGAAUUCCUGGUGUAGAGGUGAAAUUCAUAGAUAUCGGGAAGAACACCGGUGGCGAAGGCGGCCUUCUGGCCCGAUACUGACGCUGAGACGCGAAAGCGUGGGGAGCAAACAGGAUUAGAUACCCUAGUAGUCC
rnacentral:rRNA from 1 species